rnacentral:lncRNA from 1 species
UUCCUUAUUCGGUUUCUCUUUCCUUAUUCGAUUUUCAUUUCAUUAUACAGUUUCUAUUUCCUUAUUCGAUUUCCAUUUCCUUAUUUGAUUUUCAUUUCCUUAUUCGGUUUCUUUUUCCUUUUUCAAUGUUCAUUUCCUUUUUCGGUUUCUAUUUCCUAAUUGGGUUUCUAUUUCCUUAUUGGGUUUCUAUUUCCUUAUUGGAUUUUCGUUUCCUUAUUCGAUUUCCAUUUCCUUUUCGAUUUCCAUUCCUAAUUCGGUUUCUUUUUCCUUUUUCAAUAUUCAUUUCCUUUUUCGGUUUCUAUUUCCUUAUUCGGUUUCUAUUUCCUUAUUCAGUUUCUAUUUCCUUAUUGGAUUUUCAUUUCCUUAUUGGAUUUUCAUUUCCUUAUUCGGUUUCUUUUUUCUUAUUCGGUUUCUAUUUCCUUAUUCAGUUUCCAUUUCCUUAUUGGAUUUUCAUUUCCUUAUUGGAUUUUCAUUUCCUUUGAAAAAAAUGAAAAUCCAAUAAGGAAAUGAAAAUCCAAUAAGGAAAUGGAAACUGAAUAAAGAAAUAGAAACCAAAUAAGGAAAUAGAAACCGAAAAAGGAAAUGAAUAUUGAAAAAGGAAAAAGAAACCGAAUAAGAAAUGGAAAUCGAAUAAGGAAAUGGAAAUCGAAUCAGGAAACGAAAAUCCAAUAAGGAAAUAGAAACCCAAUAAGGAAAUAGAAACCAAUAAGGAAAUAGAAACCGAAAAAGGAAAUGAACAUUGAAAAAGGAAAAAGAAACCGAAUAAGGAAAUGGAAAUUAAAUAAGGAAAUGGAAAUCGAAUAAGGAAAUGAAAAUCCAAUAAGGAAAUAGAAACCGAAUAAGGAAAUAGAAACCGAAUAAGUAAAUAGAAACCCAAAAAGGAAAUGAACAUUGAAAAAGGAAAAAGAAACCAAAUAAGGAAAUGAAAAUCGAAUAAGGAAAUGGAAAUCGAAUAAGGAAAUAGAAACUGUAUAAGGAAAUGAAAAUCGAAUAAGGAAAAAGAAACCGAAUAAGGAAACGAAAAAAAAAAUUUGAAAAACUUUUUGAGGAAAAAAAAUUUGAGAAAAAA